rnacentral:hammerhead_ribozyme from 1 species
AUCCAACUGAUGAGUCCCAAAUAGGACAAAACACGCGUCUCAGAU